GAUGAACGCUAGCUACAGGCUUAACACAUGCAAGUCGAGCGGUUUGUGCUUUUGCACAUUCAGCGGCAGACGGGUGAGUAACACGUAUCUAACCUUCCCCUUACUUGGGCAUAGCCUCUGGAAACGGAGAUUAAUUUCCGAUGUGGUGUACAUUUCGCAUGUUUUGCGCACCAAAGAUUUAUCGGUAAGGGAUGGGGAUGCGCUCCAUUAGGUAGUAGGUAGGGUAAUGGCCUACCUAGCCUAUGAUGGAUAGGGGUUCUGAGAGGAAGGUCCCCCACAUUGGAACUGCGACACGGUCCAAACUCCUACGGGAGGCAGCAGUGAGGAAUAUUGGUCAAUGGCCGGAAGGCUGAACCAGCCAAGUAGCGUGCAGGAAGACUGCCUUAUGGGUUGUAAACUGCUUUUUUACGGGAAUAAUUAUGAUCACGUGUGAUUAUUUGCAUGUACCGUAAGAAUAAGGAUCGGCUAACUCCGUG
rnacentral:rRNA from 1 species